rnacentral:rRNA from 1 species
GAUGAACGCUGGCGGCGUGCUUAACACAUGCAAGUCGAACGGAAAGGCUCCUGCUUGCAGGGGUACUCGAGUUGCGAACGGGUGAGUUACACGUGGGUUAUCUGCCCUGCACUUCGGGAUAAGCCUGGGAAACUGGGUCUAAUACCGGAUAGGACGAUGGUUUGGUUGCCAUUGUGGAAAAUUUUUCGGUGUGGGAUGAGCUCGCGGCCUAUCAGCUUGUGGGUAGGGUAAUGGCCUACCAAGGCGUCGACCCGGACCCGGCCUGAGACCGGGUACAGCCAGACUGAGAUAGGGACCAGACUCCGACGCGUGGGGGAGGUGGGAAAGAUGGAACAAUGAGAGCAGGCCAAAUGCAGAGACAGCGCGGGGGGGAUAAUGAUGUUCGGGUUGUGGUCUCAAUGCGCUAUUAACGGGGAGUAUUAUGACGGUACCUGGAGAAGAAGCUCCGGCUAACUACGUG